AAAAUAAAAUGUCGGAUGUGGUAUUCCUAUGAGUAAAUUCCUAUUGCACUUCCUGUACGGAUAAACAAACAUUUAGUAACUAAUACUUGGCUCAUCUGCAAACAAUGUACGUUCAGAAUUUAAAUAAAUAUUUGUUGACACAUCCGAGCUUGUUGAUCUUAACAAUCACCUACACCGCCAUUUUCGCUGUCUUACUAUACAAGUGGAGAAAACGACAGAAGAAUCAGAGGAGAGCCUCCGAAAGACUGUACGACGAAAUUGAAUUAAUCGAACGGACCGUUUCCACCCUUAGGGAGAACGAAUAUGAAAAUAUAGAAGUUAUAAACAAUCGGCGAAAUCUCGACAGGGCAUCUGCGGUCACCGAUGAUUUUCAAUAUUUCGAUAGUGUUAGCAAUAAUCCUGCAGGGGAAAUUGUUUUACAACCCCGAAACUUGAUUUAUGAAAACAUAUAGGUACAAUGAAUAGCGAUGUGUGAAUCAUUUGGUUAAUGUAUAGCGGAAAUUAAACGCGUUUCCAUCGUAGGGAAUUUGGUUAAUCUGUCAAUAUCGAUGAAUGUGCGGUAUGUAAUUUUUAUCUCUGAGAUAAGGGCACGUAUAAGUAGGUAACCUAACGUAAUCGUGAGGAUGAGUGUGCUGUGCAAAGUAAAGAGUGUGUGAUUUCCGUUUUCCAACAGAGUUCUGGUUGACGAUGAGGCAAUUUGAAAUUAACGACUACACGCAGGUGGUAGUGUUUUGCUUUCUGAUUCUGAUCGGCGUGAUUAUGCUAACCAGCUGUGUUUGGUGUUGCCUGUAUUUAUGCAAAUUGGGAAAGCGAGUCCUAAUAACUAAAAAGUGGAAGAGAUCUUCGUCGUUUGUUUACGAGAGUCCUUCUGGAAGAGAAAAUGCUAUUAUUUGAAAACGCUUGCAUUAAUAGCGCCUACAAUCAAGCAAACAAUCAUACACUGCGCUGUGUGUCAGUGCUCUCAAGUCGUUCACACGUGAAUUUCCACGUGACUAUCGUUUUCUGCUAAAUAUUACUGUAAUUCCUACAAAAUUUUUGGUUACGCGAGAGCAUCAUGAACUCUGUUCAUAAGAAAUUGAUGAUAUUUUUUGUUGUAUCCCAAGUAAUAAUUCGAAAUGGUUGUUACGUUAUGUUAUACACGGAUCCCACUACCAAUGUUUAUAUAAUUCCAAUGUUAUUGUUUGCCGACAUAUCUGCUUUGGGAGUGAUGGCUGUUUACAUACUAUCCAAUGGUUCCAAGGAAAGUCAGCUAGAGAAACAAAACAUUUUAAGAAUUUAGUUUCUGUUCGCCAAAAUCAAGGAAGGGGCCAGCUGAAUGAGAAGCUAUUUUACAUAUAAGUGAGAAACUUUAUACAUUGUGAUUUUAUUUACUUUAUAGUUAAUUCUUUAUCUAUUCCAAGAUUAAGUAGAAUGGUAGAUGAAUUUGUAAGCUGCUAAGUGUUAUUUUUAUAAUAAAUUUAAUGCAGUGCCUAGUAGUAACA